rnacentral:misc_RNA from 1 species
AGAGAGAGAGAGGGAGAGAGAGUGAUCCUUCAAUACUAAGUUGACAAGAGAUUCUAUUAAGUGAGAAAAAAAUGAAUAAUAAAAAUAAGUAAUAUGAUAAAAAAGGGGGAAAAAAAGAUGAUAUGGUUUGGCAACUGCAAAAAAAGAAAAGAAAAGAAAGCGAAGGAACAAUAACAGCAAAGAAAGCAAAACAGUAGUGAGUGACAGACUAUCACAGGAUCAAUCCAACAUGAAUGAUUAGGAUUCCCAUUUAAAUCCUUAUUAUUUUUUUUAAAAUAAAAAAUUGUUUAUUAAUAAUCUCAAUAUCAAAAAAGAAGACAAUAAAGAAUGGGGUUUGGUUUGGUUGAAUGAUUAGAAAGUUGGGGGGGUAAUUUCCUAAUGGCUACCGGACAAAAGGUUCUCCAAUGGGGGACCAGAAUUUUCUCUCUCUCCUGUUUAACGGUCGAAAAGUUGAAACUUCUGUGGUUUCCCUCAUCAGUGGAGAACACAGGUUUCCUUCCAAGUGUUCUGGCCCAGUUGACAUCUCUUUGGGCCUUAAAUAUAUAUAUGGAGAGGCCUGAUUCGUUAAAACAACGCCCUUUAGGUUUUUCUUAAUCCAAUUCUGGCCCAAAAUUACUAACUUUAUUUCUAUGGAUUUCUUGGGUCCAA